rnacentral:pre_miRNA from 1 species
AGUGCAAACCACAUAUGUAGUGGAAACUUGGAAACUACCGUUGGAUCGAGAAAUGGACGUCCGAGAUUCGUCCACGUCAACAUGAGUUAAAAUUUAACUCGCAGAUUCACUCAUGAGUUAAAAUUUUUCUGGGACUUAAAUUUUAACUCAUGGUGACAUGGACGAAUCUCGGACGUCCAUUUCUCGAUCCAACGGUAGUUUCCAAGUUUCCACUACAUAUGUGGUUUGCA